UUUCAGAUCUUGCAUCUUGCAGUGAAUUCUAGUAUGCUGCGUCAUUGCAUGUAGAAUGACUAAAGAUUUGACAAUUCACAUAGAUACAUGUAGUAUCAAUGAAUACGUUGUAUAAUUUUAUACUUGGAAGAAAGAAUUCUUCGACACUUUAUGUGACUGGCAAUGCUGCGGACGAACCAGCUAGUGAUGAAGUCGUCGAUGAAAAUGGUUUUGUGAUGGUCAACUCUGGAGACAGACAGCAAGAAAGAUGUAUACAGGUAUAUUUAAUAUCACUGUUCUUUUUUUCACAAUAAAUGCGCAUUAUAAAUUGUGAAUAUUGCCACUACAACACUGGACACACAGUGGUUGCUUAAUUUCUGGUGGCGACAUUCGUGUGAUGACACGUAUGUGAUGUUCAGAACUGAACAUCCGUCCAGCAUUAACUGUGGUCCAGUAAAUCCGUCCAGCAUUAACUGUGGUCCAGUAAAUAUCCAACUAAUGGAUGAAAUUGAAAAUCAACAUGCGAUUACAACAAUAGGAGAUGUUUUUAAAUGAUGUCAAACGCUGAAAAAUGCUUAAUGCGAUGCCCAAAGGAACUUUUUUUAACGACAAUUUGCAAUGCAAUUUGCAAAAGAUGUUUUUAUUAAAUAAAUUGGUUUUCCGCAUUUGACGGCAUUAUAAGGGAUGGCCGGGUCAUAAAGUAUUUACUAGGGGGUGUGGAGGAUAUUUUUUGGGGGUACAAAAAAAAACCCAGAACAUCUGAGGGAGGUGUGAAAAAACUAUAGAACCUCUAGGGGAGUACCAAAAUCUUAGUACUAUAGGUACGGAAAAAAAAUUACAUUUUAUAAUUGUUGAAAUUGAAUGUAUUUGUGCCGAGAUUUUUAAAGUCUGGAAAGAAUUGUUGUACUAUAAUUCUGAUUAAAUCAACACAAAGUAUAUAUGUUUCAGUCUGACUCAAUGUUAGAUGAUAAUGCACCUAUCAUCGUCUUGCCCAAGGGGGGUAACCCCGGGACAAGGUCGGGUAAAUGUGGGGAUAUACUGGGGGAUUGUAACAUAACUUUCCCCCCAGGAGUGGGGUAAUUUUCAAACAUUUAAAAACUACAGCUCCCAGGGGUCAGGAAAUUGCAAACCAUUUAAGCCGAUGAAUACCGCUGACCAUGAAUCUUAAACGCAAAUUAGCAGCCAUUUUGAAACGUCACUGUUGCCAUAGCAAUGAUAGUUACACACUUUUUUGUUACAAUCUUUGAUUCUCCAAAUCCUGCUAUAUACAAGUCUGUUAGUUUCAUGUUUCUAACUAAUAAUCAAUGUACAAGAUUUCGGCUCUAAAACGAGUGUUUUACACUUUUCAAGAAAUUGUAUGGAGCCUCCUUAAAUUAAAGUUACAAAAUUCAACAAGACGGUUUUAUUGGGUAAUUGUUUCAAUUUUUUAUCAGUUCAAUGGCAAUAUAUUAAACUGGUACUUUGCUGACUGAUGUUCAAAUACGUUUUCUAAUGUUGCUGUUGCUACUAAACUUUAGUACUGAAAUUUAAAUCUGCCCCACAAGCGUGUAAACGUACUCUCUGAAAAAGUAUGCAAGAUAUAUAAUCCAUAACAAGUCAUCGAUAGGCAUGUCCCGGGGAAUAUAAAUUUCCACACACCCUGGGUCCCGGGAAAAUGUCCAACUUUGUUCCAGGUAGAUUUUGCAUUUCCCGAGGUUCGCCCGGGGUUACCCCCCUCGGGCAAGACGAUGAACGGUGCAUAAGUAGGAUUCAGCAUCCAUGGAACUUUUGGAGUACAAAUCUGAUACAUCUGAAUUGUCAAUGCUAGCAAGCUUGUACCGUGAGAACCUGAUGAGGAAGUGUCACAUUGAAUGGAAGCAAAUUUUUUUUCAGUUUGAAAUAAGUAAAACCAAAAACAAAUUUUUCUGUUUGUUCUUACACUCAGCCUAUCCGCUAGUAUGUCAGAAUCAGAAAAGAUUGGUGACAAAUCGAAAGUGGAAAAUGUUGAGGAUGUGAUUACCACUACAAGAAGUGGGGGAGCAGGGCCACCGAGAGGGGGGGCAGGGGGGGGGGGGAAUUGCCCCGGGCCCUGAGUUUCUGGGGGCCCCUGAAAAAUUUUUGUUGGGCCCCAGUCUUUCUUGUGUGUUAAAUAUUUCCACGUAAAGGACAAGAUAUCUGUUUUCUUGGGCUAAGUACCGAAUUUUGGCAUAAAAAAAUGAGAUAAAGUCCCUCGAAAGCAAUUGCAACGUACUCGUCCUGAAAAUUAAAUGUUUCGAGGGAAAUAGUUUGUUUUGUUUUCCGGACAGUCUCGUUAUUUCCCAAGACGAAGUCAAGGGAAACAUUGAGACUCGAGGGAAAACAAAACUAACUAUUUCCCAAGGGAACAGACAUUAAGCGUUUUGUUAUAUAUCAUACAACAAUUGUAUUUUGUGACAAAAACCCUAUAGUGUAAACAAGUUAAAAAUUAAAAGAACCUACUUAAACGGUUUCAGCAUGCAGC